UAGGGAAUCUUCGGCAAUGGACGGAAGUCUGACCGAGCAACGCCGCGUGAGUGAAGAAGGUUUUCGGAUCGUAAAGCUCUGUUGUAAGAGAAGAACGAGUGUGAGAGUGGAAAGUUCACACUGUGACGGUAUCUUACCAGAAAGGGACGGCUAACUACGUGCCAGCAGCCGCGGUAAUACGUAGGUCCCGAGCGUCGUCCGGAUUUAUUGGGCGUAAAGCGAGCGCAGGCGGUUAGAUAAGUCUGAAGUUAAAGGCUGUGGCUUAACCAUAGUACGCUUUGGAAACUGUUUAACUUGAGUGCAAGAGGGGAGAGUGGAAUUCCAUGUGUAGCGGUGAAAUGCGUAGAUAUAUGGAGGAACACCGGUGGCGAAAGCGGCUCUCUGGCUUGUAACUGACGCUGAGGCUCGAAAGCGUGGGGAGCAAACAGGAUUAGAUACCCUGGUAGUCCACGCCGUAAACGAUGAGUGCUAGGUGUUAGACCCUUUCCGGGGUUUAGUGCCGCAGCUAACGCAUUAAGCACUCCGCCUGGGGAGUACGACCGCAAGGUUG
rnacentral:rRNA from 1 species